rnacentral:tmRNA from 1 species
GGGGGCGUAUUGGUUUCGACGGGAUCGUUGAAGUCAGUGCAGCGGGUAGAGGAUUCUCGUUGGCCUCUUUAAAAAACGAGAGACUAAAAUAAACGCUAAAAACGAUAAUUUCGCUUUAGCUGCUGCCUAAUAAAGGCAGCCCGUCAGUCCGGGGUUCCUGCACCUCGGGUAGCUGGCGUCAUUAAGUCAGGCCUUAGGAAUGGGAAGGUCAAAUUCCGGAACUGGUUCAGUGGUAGCCUUGAGCUGAACCCGAUCUAAAGGCUACCGAAGGCGGAACUUCGACUGCAGAGGCCCGCCGGAGGGAAAUGCUGGCUCAAGUCCCGCAAGGGAUACUGAACUGGCGCAAAUUGCAGUCUACACCCGUAGAAACACUGGUGGAAAUGGUUUCGGACAGGGGUUCGACUCCCCUCGCCUCCACCA